rnacentral:rRNA from 1 species
GACAGAGGGUGCAAACGUUGUUCGGAAUUACUGGGCGUAAAGCGCGUGUAGGCGGCCCUGCAAGUCGGAUGUGAAAUCCCACGGCUCAACCGUGGAAGUGCAUUCGAAAACUGCAGGGCUAGAGUCCUGGAGAGGAAGGUGGAAUGCUUGGUGUAGAGGUGAAAUUCGUAGAUAUCAAGCGGAACACCGGUGGCGAAGGCGGCCUUCUGGGAACAGUGGACUGACGCUGAGACGCGAAAGCGUGGGGAAGCAACAGGGAGUAAGAUGAUCC